rnacentral:rRNA from 1 species
AGGGCACCACCAGGAGUGGAGCCUGCGGCUUAAUUUGACUCAACACGGGAAAACUCACCCGGCCCGGACACUGGAAGGAUUGACAGAUUGAGAGCUCUUUCUUGAUUCAGUGGGUGGUGGUGCAUGGCCGUUCUUAGUUGGUGGAGUGAUUUGUCUGGUUAAUUCCGAUAACGAACGAGACUCUAGCCUACUAAAUAGAUCGUCGGCUUACAAACGCCGGCGAGACUUCUUAGAGGGACAGGCGGUGAUUCAACCGCACGAAACAGAGCAAUAACAGGUCUGUGAUGCCCUUAGAUGUCCGGGGCCGCACGCGCGCUUCACUGAAGUGAUCAGCGUGCUUUUUCAACCUACUCUGUCAAGAGUGGGGAACCCAAUGAACCUUCUUCGUGAUUGGGAUAGGGGAUUGUAAUUAUUCCCCUUGAACGAGGAAUUCCCAGUAAGCGCGAGUCAUAAGCUCGCGUUGAUUACGUCCCUGCCCUUUGUACACACCGCCCGUCGCUACUACCGAUUGAAUGUUUU